CGUCUCAUGAAAGGUCCUCUAGGAUCCAUAGGCAUUAAGGGAGGUCUGAGGGGAGGGAAGGGUGGAGGAGCAAACCCUGAGCUGACUGCUUCACUUUCAGAGGCCAGUGGCUGAUCAGGCAGUGAGUCCUAAAGACUAGAAUGAUCUUUCAUCCCAUUUCCGCUUGGUUCUGUCCGUGGGCUAUUUUCUGAAGAUGUUUGUCCAUCUGUAUGCAAAGUUAAACAAGUUAUUCAACAUUGACCUCCACCUCCCCACCACCAGCAUUUUGUCUUAAAUCAGAAGAUACAGGCAA